GGACUACCCGGGUAUCUAAUCCCGUUUGCUCCCCUAGCUUUCGCGCCUCAGCGUCAGAAAAGGUCCAGUACGUCGCUUUCGCCACCGGCGUUCCUUCCGAUCUCAACGCAUUUCACCGCUCCACCGGAAGUUCCACCUGCCCCUACCUCCCUCCAGCCAAUCCGUAUCCGAGGCACUGUUCCGGUUAAGCCGGAAAAUUUCACCCCGGACGCGAUUGGCCGCCUACGCGCCCUUUAAGCCCAGUGAUUCCGAACAACGUUCGCACGGUUCGUCUUACCGCGGCUGCUGGCAC
rnacentral:rRNA from 3 species